GGAUAACCUGCCCUUAGGUCUGGCAUAACCCCGGGAAACUGGGGAUAAUUCCGGAUAGAUCAUGGAUGCUGGAAUGCACCGUGAUCCAAAGCUUUUGUGCCUAAGGAUGGGUCUGCGGUCUAUCAGGUCGUAGUGGGUGUAAAGUACCUACUAGCCUACGACGGAUACGGGUUGUGAGAGCAAGAGCCCGGAGAUGGAUUCUGAGACAUGAAUCCAGGCCCUACGGGGCGCAGCAGGCGCGAAAACUUUACACUGCGGGAAACCGCGAUAAGGGAACACCGAGUGCCAGCAUCCUAUGUUGGCUGUCCACAUGUGUAAAUAACAUGUGUUAGCAAGGGCCGGGCAAGACCGGUGCCAGCCGCCGCGGUAACACCGGCGGCCCGAGUGGUGGCCACUAUUAUUGGGUCUAAAGGGUCCGUAGCCGGUUUGGUCAGUCUUCCGGGAAAUCUGACGGCUUAACCGUUAGGCUUCCGGGGGAUACUGCCAGACUUGGGACCGGGAGAGGUAAGAGGUACUACGGGGGUAGGAGUGAAAUCUUGUAAUCCCUGUGGGACCACCAGUGGCGAAGGCGUCUUACCAGAACGGGUCCGACGGUGAGGGACGAAAGCUGGGGGCACGAACCGGAUUAGAUACCCGGGUAGUCCCAGCCGUAAACUAUGCUCGCUAGGUGUCAGGGACGGUGCGACCGUUUCUGGUGCCGCAGGGAAGCCGUGAAGCGAGCCACCUGGGAAGUACGGUCGCAAGGCUGAAACUUAA
rnacentral:rRNA from 1 species